rnacentral:rRNA from 1 species
GCAAGUCGAACGGACUUAACCAUUAGUUUACUAUUGGAGCGGUUAGUGGCGGACUGGUGAGUAACACGUAAGCAACCUGCCUAUCAGAGGGGAACAACAGUUAGAAAUGACUGCUAAUACCGCAUAUGCCUAAGUACUACAUGGUACAAUAGGGAAAGGAGCAAUCCGCUGAUAGAUGGGCUUGCGUCUGAUUAGAUAGUUGGUGGGGUAAAGGCCUACCAAGUCGACGAUCAGUAGCCGGACUGAGAGGUUGAACGGCCACAUUGGGACUGAGAUACGGCCCAGACUCCUACGGGAGGCAGCAGUCGGGAAUAUUGCGCAAUGGAGGAAACUCUGACGCAGUGACGCCGCGUGCAGGAAGAAGGUUUUCGGAUUGUAAACUGCUUUAGACAGGGAAGAGACAAGACAGUACCUGUAGAAUAAGCUCCGGCUAACUACGUGCCAGCAGCCGCGGUAAUACGUAGGGAGCGAGCGUUAUCCGGAUUUAUUGGGUGUAAAGGGUGCGUAGACGGGAAAAUAAGUUAGUUGUGAAAUCCCUCGGCUUAACUGAGGAACUGCAACUAAAACUGUUUUUCUUGAGUACUGGAGAGGAAAGUGGAAUUCCUAGUGUAGCGGUGAAAUGCGUAGAUAUUAGGAGGAACACCAGUGGCGAAGGCGACUUUCUGGACAGAAACUGACGUUGAGGCACGAAAGUGUGGGGAGCAAACAGGAUUAGAUA